rnacentral:tRNA from 1 species
CGGGAUGUGGCGCAGUUUGAUAGCGCACCUGCCUUGGAUGCAGGGGGUCGGAGUUUCAAAUCCUCCCGCCCCGC